rnacentral:lncRNA from 1 species
AGAGCAGCGCCACUCGGAGACGGGAUGGUUCCGUGGGUUGUGUAGGAGCACAGGAAAGCGGAGGCCGGGCCACACAGCACCGCGAACCCAGCAGCCCAAGCCCAGCGGACCAAGCAGCCACCCCCGGGAGCCGCCACUGCCUGGAGCAGUCACCGGCGGGAGCCUCCAUUUCCAGGAGCCGCCACCGCUGGGAGCUGCCACAGCCGGGAGCCGCCACCGCCAGAAGCCUCCAUCUCCCGGGAGCCGCCAUCGCUGGGAGCCGCCACCUCCAGGAGCCGCCACGGCCACCGGGAGCCGUCACCGCAGGGAACCUCCAUCUCCUGGAGCCACCACCGCUGGGAGCUGCCACCUCAGGAGCAGCGGCAGCACUGGGACCCGCCGGGCCCCCUCGCACCCAGCGGCUCUGCAGGUGCCCUACACCCGGGAGGGGCCGAGGGAGCCCACGCCGCCGGCGGGACCGCAGGGAUUUGCUGGCUCUUUCUGCGCUGAGGGGUCGCGGCGCGGGGCGGAGGUCGGGUGGGGAAAGCUGGAGCCGCAGGGAACGCGCAGGACAGGCUCGCUGGGUGUCGACUCUAGCCCUCUGUCAGAGACCUUGGGACCCGCGCAAUGUGGCAGUGGAAGGCGCAGGGUCUGACCCCGGCCGCGGCCGCCGCAGCAGCUGAUCUGUCAACCCCGGCCAGAGCCGAGCCGCCUGAGGCCUGCAGUGUUCUCCAUCACCACUGUGAUGGCAUCCGCUUCCGUGACUGUCACUGUGCACCCUCCGCCUGUCCUGGGCCCACGCAGGACCCCCAAGCGGGGCUCUGCACAGGCCAGGAGGGCUACCCAGGGACUGACCACGGGUUGUUCAUGGGUCCUCACCUGCUUUUCCAGGUCCAGGGUGAGAGGACGAAUUUGAAGGUAGAAGUCACAGAGUUGCAGGAUGUGGAGUGCGAGGAGUGGCCCCGGGGAAGCAGCUCCAACUGAGGGUGAUUAAAAUCUGAAGCAGGCCGGGCGCAGUGGCUCACAUCUGUAAUCCCAGCACUUUUGGAGGCCGAGGCAGGUGGAUCACCUGACGUCAGGAGUUCGAGACCAGCCUGGGCAACAUGGUGAAACCCCGUCUCUGCUAAAAAUACAAAGUUAGCCAGGCAUGAUGGCGAGCGCCUGUAAUCCCAGCUACUAGGGAGGCUGAGGCACGAGAAUCGCUUGAACCUGGGAGGGGGAGGUUGCAGUCACCUGAGAUUGGACCAUUGCACUCCAGCCUGGGCAACAAGAGCGAAACUCCAUCUCAGAAAAAAAAAAAAAAAAAAAAAAUCUAAAGUAAAGAGGUCAAAGAUCGGAAACCCCUGCCCCUACACCUUUCAAGAACUGCUUGCGCUCUUUCAGUGUGACAUGGAAAAGCAGGAUGGCAUACACCCCACUGAAGGAUGUAGGCGGAGGCAGAUCUCUCAACCAGGCAUAUUGCUUCUGUACUGCUCUUCUUUUGCUCUAAGGUGGCACUAUUCAAUUUCAGCCUGAACUGCCACUUUGGCCUGCUUCAGCCUCUGGUUCUUUUGGCUGCAGGCCUCUGACACCUUCUCAACGGCCUGCUUCUCAACCUGCAGCAGCUGCUGGAUGCCCUGUGACUGACUGGCUAUGACAGUGGUGAUUCUGAGACCAAGGCAAGUGGCCUAAAUCAGUUCAAAGGACCCUGGGGUCAGCUGACCCACCCAACCACAGUCUGCACCUGCGCCCUGCCACCUCUCAUUUCUUACAAAUGAGGUCAAUGCUUCAGUGACCCCAUCCCCCUACUGCUCUCCAGCCUGAGCAAUGAAGCAAGAUCUCAACUCUAAAAAAAAAAGGAAAAUAUUGCAACGGGAAAGGGUUAAUAAAAAGGCCUUGAGGUGGCUGGGUGCAGUGGCUCACGUCUGUAAUCCCAGCACUUUGGGAGGCUGAAGUGGGCAGACUAUCUGAGGUCAGGAGUUCAAGACCAGCCUGGCCAACAUGGUGAAACCCCAUCUCUACUAAAAAUACAAAAAUUAGCCAGGUGUGGUGGUGGGCACCUGUAAUCCCAGCUACUUGGGAGGCUGAGGCAGG